UUUCAAGCUACAAAGAGCCAACGGUGAAUGCCUUGGCACGUACUACCGAAGAAGGACGCGAUCGGCUGCGAUAAGCCACGGCGAGCUGCCUAAUAAGCUAUGACCCGUGGAUGUCCGAAUGGGGAAACCCAGCACCCGUCAUGGGGUGUUACUCCCGCCUGAAUAUAUAGGGCGGGUAGAGGGAACUCGGUGAACUGAAACAUCUCAGUAACCGGAGGAAAGAAAAACAACCGUGACCCCCCUAGUAGCGGCGAGCGAACGGGGGUGAGCCUAAACCGACAUAGUGGAAAGCCUAGCGGCGUUGCUAUGUCGGGGUCGUGGGACCUAAGGGCAGGUGCGCUAGAACCUGCAAAGAGUUACAAAUCUUGUUGUUAGUAGAACCGUACUGGAAAGACGGGCCGUAGAGGGUAAUAGCCCCGUAAACGAAAGCUUCAAGACUCUUAUUAGUGUUCCCGAGUAGCACCAUUGACGUGGAAUUUGGUGUGAAUCCGCGAGGCCCACCUCGUAAGGCUAAGUAUACGUACGUGACCGAUAGUGAACUAGUACCGUGAGGGAAAGGUGAAAAGUACCCCGGGAGGGGAGUGAAAUAGUACCUGAAACCGUUGGUUUACAAGCAGUCAAAGAGUCGUUUAGGACUUGUCCUAAGCCUCGAUGGCGUGCCUUUUGAAGAAUGAGCCUACGAGUUAUGGUGUGUGGCAAGGUUAACCCGUGAGGGGAAGCCGGAGCGAAAGCGAGUCUGAAUAGGGCGCAUAGUCGCAUGCUGUAGACCCGAAGCCGUGUGAUCUAUCCAUGGGCAGUGUGAAGCGAGGGUAAGACCUCGUGGAGGCGCGAACCGACCUAGGUUGAAAACUGGGCGGAUGACCUGUGGAUAGGGGUGAAAGGCCAAUCAAACACGGUGAUAGCUGGUUCUCUGCGAAAUGCAUUUAGGUGCAGCGUUGCGUGUUCAGUACUGGAGGUAGAGCACUGGAUGGAUUAGGGGGCCCACAAGCUUACCGACUUCAGCCAAACUCCGAAUGCCAGUACUCCAGAGCGCAGCAGUGAGACCCCGGGGGAUGAGCUUCGGGGUCGAGAGGGAAACAGCCCAGAUCGCCGGCUAAGGUCCCAAAGUGUGUGUUAAGUGGUAAACGAUGUGGGUUCGCAUAGACAGCCAGGAGGUUGGCUUAGAAGCAGCCACCCUUGAAAGAGUGCGUAACAGCUCACUGGUCGAGUGAACCUGCGCGGACAAUGUAACGGGGCUAAAACACACCACCGAAGCCGCGGAUGCCGCAUUGCCUACGGGUAAUGGGGUGUGGUAGCAGAGCGUCGAUCUUGCUGUGAAGCAGCUGCGGAAGCAGUUGUGGAGCGUGGUCGAGUGCGAAUGUAGGCAUGAGUAGCGAGAGAGGGGUGAGAAACCCUUCCACCGAAAGCCCAAGGGUUCCUGGGGAAGGCUAUUCCUCCCAGGGUGAGUCGGGACCUAAGGCGAGGCCGAAAGGCGUAGUCGAUGGAUAACUGGUUGAUAUUCCAGUACCGCUGAGAGCGCGUCCAGGCUUAACCGAAGUUGCUAACUGGAUGUCCGGAUCCUUAGGGAGCCGGAAGGAAAGGACCCACUUUGGAGCGGCCAGCAAUGCAGGGACGAAGAAUGGUAGGUGAACCCAGGCGAUGGUUGUCCUGGGGUAAGUGCUUAGGCCGGGGCAUAGGUAAAUCCGUUCCCCGUUAAGGCUGAAACACGAUGCCGAGUCGAAUACGACGAAGUCAUUGAUCCACUACUUCCAAGAAAAUCUGCUAGCGAGCUCUCUUAGCGCCCGUACCCCAAACCAACACAGGUGGGCAGGUAGAGAAUACUAAGGUGUAUGAGAUAACCAUGGUUAAGGAACUCGGCAAAUUGCAUCCGUAACUUCGGGAUAAGGAUGACCUCAUGGGUUUAUAGCCUAAUGAGGUGGCACAAACUAGGGGGGAGCGACUGUUUACUAAAAACACAGCAGGGUGCUAAGUCGUAAGACGAUGUAUACCCUGUGACGCCUGCCCGGUGCUGGAAGGUUACGGGGACCGGUUAGCUGUAAAGCGAAGCUGUGAACCUAAGCCCCAGUAAACGGCGGCCGUAACUAUAACGGUCCUAAGGUAGCGAAAUUCCUUGUCGGGUAAGUUCCGACCUGCACGAAUGGCGUAACGACUCCCCUACUGUCUCAACCAUGGACUCAGCGAAAUUGAAGUACGAGUAAAGAUGCUCGUUAGCUACAGAAGGACGGAAAGACCCCGUGGACCUUUACUAUAGCUUGAUAUUGGUGUUUGAUUUGCGUUGUGUAGGAUAGGUGGGAGACUAGGAAGUCGGAGCGCUAGCUUCGGUGGAGUCAACCUUGAAAUACCACCCUGCGUACGUUGACCAUCUAACCUUGGACCGUGAUCCGGUUCGGGGACAGUGUCAGGUGGGUAGUUUGACUGGGGCGGUCGCCUCCUAAAGAGUAACGGAGGCGUUCAAAGGUUCCCUCAGACUGGUUGGCAAUCAGUCUUCGAGUGCAAUGGCAUAAGGGAGCUUGACUGCGAGACCUACAAGUCGAGCAGGUACGAAAGUAGGACAUAGUGAUCCGGCGGUUGCGUGUGGAAGCGCCGUCGCUCAACGGAUAAAAGGUACCCCGGGGAUAACAGGCUAAUCUUUCCCAAGAGUCCAUAUCGACGGAAAGGUUUGGCACCUCGAUGUCGGCUCAUCGCAUCCUGGGGCUGAAGCAGGUCCCAAGGGUUGGGCUGUUCGCCCAUUAAAGCGGUACGCGAGCUGGGUUUAGAACGUCGUGAGACAGUUCGGUCCCUAUCCUCUGUAGCCGGAAGAGAUUUGAGGAAAGCUGCCCCUAGUACGAGAGGACCGGGGUGGACGAAGCUCUCGUGUGCCAGUUGUCCUGCCAAGGGCAUGGCUGGUUGGCGACCUUCGGACGGGAUAACCGCUGAAAGCAUCUAAGUGGGAAGCCCAUUCCAAGAUGAGAUCUCUCACUGGGUUAACCAGGUAAGGCCCGUGGAAGAACACCACGUUGAUAGGCCGGAAGUGUACGCACGGUAACGUGUUUAGCUGACCGGUACUAAUCGGCCGAGGGCUUGAUUAA
rnacentral:rRNA from 2 species